rnacentral:rRNA from 1 species
UGUGGGAUCAGUGGCGAACGGGUGAGUAACACGUGAGCAACCUGCCCCUGACUCUUGGAUAAGCGCUGGAAACGGCGUCUAAUACUGGAUAUGUGACGUGACCGCAUGGUCUGCGUUUGGAAAGAUUUUUGGGUUGGGGAUGGGCUCGCGGCCUAUCAGCUUGUUGGUGAGGUAAUGGCUCACCAAGGCGUCGACGGGUAGCCGGCCUGAGAGGGUGACCGGCCACACUGGGACUGAGACACGGCCCAGACUCCUACGGGAGGCAGCAGUGGGGAAUAUUGCACAAUGGGCGAAAGCCUGAUGCAGCAACGCCGCGUGAGGGAUGACGGCCUUCGGGUUGUAAACCUCUUUUAGCAGGGAAGAAGCGAAAGUGACGGUACCUGCAGAAAAAGCGCCGGCUAACUACGUGCCAGCAGCCGCGGUAAUACGUAGGGCGCAAGCGUUAUCCGGAAUUAUUGGGCGUAAAGAGCUCGUAGGCGGUUUGUCGCGUCUGCUGUGAAAUCCCGAGGCUCAACCUCGGGCCUGCAGUGGGUACGGGCAGACUAGAGUGCGGUAGGGGAGAUUGGAAUUCCUGGUGUAGCGGUGGAAUGCGCAGAUAUCAGGAGGAACACCGAUGGCGAAGGCAGAUCUCUGGGCCGUAACUGACGCUGAGGAGCGAAAGGGUGGGGAGCAAACAGGCUUAGAUACCCUGGUAGUCCACCCCGUAAACGUUGGGAACUAGUUGUGGGGUCCAUUCCACGGAUUCCGUGACGCAGCUAACGCAUUAAGUUCCCCGCCUGGGGAGUACGGCCGCAAGGCUUAAACUCAAAGGAAUUGACGGGGACCCGCACAAGCGGCGGAGCAUGCGGAUUAAUUCGAUGCAACGCGAAGAACCUUACCAAGGCUUGACAUAUACGAGAACGGGCCAGAAAUGGUCACUCUUUGGACACUCGUAACAGGUGGUGCAUGGUUGUCGUCAGCUCGUGUCGUGAGAUG